rnacentral:rRNA from 1 species
GGGGAAUAUUGGACAAUGGGCGAAAGCCUGAUCCAGCAAUGCCGCGUGAGUGAUGAAGGCCUUAGGGUUGUAAAGCUCUUUUACCCGGGAUGAUCAUGACAGUACCGGGAGAAUAAGCUCCGGCUAACUCCGUGCCAGCAGCCGCGGUAAUACGGGGGGGGCAAGCGUUGUUCGGAAUUACUGGGCGUAAAGGGCGCGUAGGCGGUUGGAUAAGUCAGCUGUGAAAACCACGGGCUUAACUCGUGGCCUGCAGUUGAGACUGUCUGGCUUGAGUGUGGGAGAGGAGAGUGGAAUUCCCGGUGUAGCGGUGAAAUGCGUAGAUAUCAGGAGGAACACCGGUGGCGAAGGCGGCUCUCUGGACCACAACUGACGCUGAGGCGCGAAAGCUAGGGGAGCAAA